rnacentral:rRNA from 1 species
GGCAGCACGAUGUAGCAAUACAUUGGUGGCGACCGGCGCACGGGUGAGUAACGCGUAUGCAACCUACCUAUCAGAGGGGAAUAACCCGGCGAAAGUCGGACUAAUACCGCAUAAAACAGGGGUUCCACAUGGAAAUAUUUGUUAAAGAAUUAUCGCUGAUAGAUGGGCAUGCGUUCCAUUAGAUAGUUGGUGAGGUAACGGCUCACCAAGUCCACGAUGGAUAGGGGUUCUGAGAGGAAGGUCCCCCACACUGGUACUGAGACACGGACCAGACUCCUACGGGAGGCAGCAGUGAGGAAUAUUGGUCAAUGGGCGAGAGCCUGAACCAGCCAAGUCGCGUGAAGGAUGAAGGAUCUAUGGUUUGUAAACUUCUUUUAUAUGGGAAUAAAGUGAGGAACGUGUUCCUUUUUGUAUGUACCAUAUGAAUAAGCAUCGGCUAACUCCGUGCCAGCAGCCGCGGUAAUACGGAGGAUGCGAGCGUUAUCCGGAUUUAUUGGGUUUAAAGGGUGCGUAGGUGGUUAAUUAAGUCAGCGGUGAAAGUUUGUGGCUCAACCAUAAAAUUGCCGUUGAAACUGGUUGACUUGAGUAUAUUUGAGGUAGGCGGAAUGCGUGGUGUAGCAGUGAAAUGCAUAGAUAUCACGCAGAACUCCGAUUGCGAAGGCAGCUUACUAAACUAUAACUGACACUGAAGCACGAAAGCGUGGGGAUCAAACAGGAUUAGAUACCCUGGUAGUCCACGCAGUAAACGAUGAUUACUAGCUGUUUG